AUACGUAGGGGGCGAGCGUUGUCCGGAAUGAUUGGGCGUAAAGGGCGCGUAGGCGGCCUUUCAAGUCAGUAGUGGAAGUCCAUCUUUCAAGGAUGGAAGUGCUACAGAAACUGAAGGGCUUGAGUGCAGGAGAGGUUAUCGGAAUUCCCGGUGUAGCGGUGAAAUGCGUAGAGAUCGGGAGGAACACCAGUGGCGAAGACGACUUUCUGGACUGUACCUGACGCUGAGGCGCGAAAGCGUGGGGAGCAAACAGGAUUAGAUACCCUGGUAGUCCACACUGUAAACGAUGAAUGCUAGGUGUAAGAGGUAUCGACCCCUUUUGUGCCGGAGUCAACACAAUAAGCAUUCCGCCUGGGGAGUACGGCCGCAAGGUUGAAACUUAAAGGAAUUGACGGGG
rnacentral:rRNA from 1 species